rnacentral:lncRNA from 1 species
AGCCCAUUCCUAGAAAAAAUAAUGCUAAAUUAGAAGCAGGAUAAAGACUUUGUGAACUAACAGUGUAGCAUCAUUUAAAAACAGUCCUAGAUCCCAUGUCUUCUAUUCCAUCCAUGUGUUUUUCUUCUAAGUGCUAAAGUUUCUGGCUACGUCUUUCUUCCUAGGGAUCUUCAGGACCUUAUCCUAUCAUCACAAUCGUUUGAGACCAUCUUCUCCAUUUUGGUUCCACUUACUUUCAUACUUAAACUGAAAAAUGGAAUGCCACAGGAUGUACCAGCAGAAUAGUUCAUCCAUCUCUAAGAAGGUCAGCACACGGAGCCCUUGACACAAUGAUGAAAUCAGAUCCCAGCGUAUUCUAGAGGCACUCACUUCUUGAGAUUCUAUACAGUGAUGAAAAUAUCUAUCCC